CUGAUCCUUCUAGCCUGUUCUGCGAUGCCUCUUCAGGCAUCAAUAUAUUUCAAUGUUGUUAAGGCUGCCUUCAGCACUUGUCUUCUUAUUGCAAUCACCAACGUCCAUUUGGGAAAUUAAUUAUCAUGUAUACAAUAUGUCCAUUUAUAUUCGUUUUAUAUUCCAACAAAAUGGAAAAUAAUAAGCAAGUAUUAGGUUUAGUUUCAUAUUCUUAUAAAGCAUUCAGGUUGUUGCUGUUAUUACUAUCAUCAUCAUCAUCAUCAUCAUCAAGGCAGUGAACUAGUAGAAUCAUUAGCAUGCCAGGCAAAAUGCUUAGCAGCAGUUCGUCCAUUUUUUUCAC